UACGAAGGGGGCGAGCGUUGUUCGGAAUUACUGGGCGUAAAGGGCGCGUAGGCGGUGUGUCAAGUCAGGCGUGAAAGCCCCGGGCUCAACCUGGGAACCGCGCUUGAGACUGGCACGCUCGAGUCCGGGAGAGGAUGGUGGAAUUCCCAGUGUAGAGGUGAAAUGCGUAGAGAUGUGGAGGAACACCAAUGGCGAAGGCAGCCUUCUGGGCCAACACUGACGCUCAUGCACGAAAGCGUGGGGAGCAAACAGG
rnacentral:rRNA from 1 species